rnacentral:rRNA from 1 species
UGGGGAAUCUUGCGCAAUGGGCGAAAGCCUGACGCAGCCAUGCCGCGUGAAUGAUGAAGGUCUUAGGAUUGUAAAAUUCUUUCACCGGGGACGAUAAUGACGGUACCCGGAGAAGAAGCCCCGGCUAACUUCGUGCCAGCAGCCGCGGUAAUACGAAGGGGGCUAGCGUUGCUCGGAAUUACUGGGCGUAAAGGGCGCGUAGGCGGAUCGUUAAGUCAGAGGUGAAAUCCCAGGGCUCAACCCUGGAACUGCCUUGGAUACUGGCGAUCUUGAGUAUGAGAGAGGUAUGUGGAACUCCGAGUGUAGAGGUGAAAUUCGUAGAUAUUCGGAAGAACACCAGUGGCGAAGGCGACAUACUGGCUCAUUACUGACGCUGAGGCGCGAAAGCGUGGGGAGCAAACAGG